UACGGGGGGAGCAAGCGUUGUUCGGAUUUACUGGGCGUAAAGGGCGCGUAGGCGGCGUAACAAAUCACUUGUGAAAUCUCCGGGCUUAACCCGGAGCGGCCAAGUGAUACUGUUGUGCUAGAGUGCGGAAGGGGCUACUGGAAUUCUCGGUGUAGCGGUGAAAUGCGUAGAUAUCGAGAGGAACACCUGCGGCGAAGGCGGGUAGCUGGGCCGACACUGACGCUGAGGCGCGAAAGCCAGGGGAGCGAACGGG
rnacentral:rRNA from 1 species